rnacentral:rRNA from 1 species
GUGGGGAAUAUUGGACAAUGGGCGCAAGCCUGAUCCAGCCAUGCCGCGUGAGUGAUGAAGGCCCUAGGGUUGUAAAGCUCUUUCGCCAGGGACGAUAAUGACGGUACCUGGAUAAGAAGCCCCGGCUAACUUCGUGCCAGCAGCCGCGGUAAUACGAAGGGGGCUAGCGUUGUUCGGAAUCACUGGGCGUAAAGCGCACGUAGGCGGAUCUUUAAGUCAGGGGUGAAAUCCCGAGGCUCAACCUCGGAACUGCCUUUGAUACUGGGGAUCUCGAGUCCGGGAGAGGUGAGUGGAACUGCGAGUGUAGAGGUGAAAUUCGUAGAUAUUCGCAAGAACACCAGUGGCGAAGGCGGCUCACUGGCCCGGUACUGACGCUGAGGUGCGAAAGCGUGGGGAGCAAACAGGAUUAGAUACCCUAGUAGUCC